rnacentral:piRNA from 1 species
UGCAUGCCUGAUGUGACAUUCAUAAAUUGU